rnacentral:lncRNA from 1 species
CAAUGUUCUAAUAUUCUCUGUUUGAAUUUUCCCAAGAUGGAUUAUCAUCUAGACGCAGAGUAGAAACGGAUGGAGGGCAAAGUUACGUUGAACAGUAGCUUUGACAGUUUUACCAUUGUACUGGAGCUGCUUGAUGAUCAAUAUACAGAUAUGUUGCGUCAGUUCUUUUUGUGGCUCAUGUACCAGUUGAGAGACUUGUAGUACUCGGGUUAAAUCAUCGAUGCUCUUCUAUGUCGGUUGCUCAAUCCAGUUGACGACGAUGUCGUCCACUUUGACAUUGGGGGCAAAGUCGCCAAUUUUUUCAUGUUCGAGUUUGCCCUGCUCACUGGAUUGCAGAUUAUGAGUGAUGACGCAACAAGUGACGGGACUCAAAGAAGAAAUAAGUUGCAGGACGCUUACUUCCACGGCUAGGAGACGGUGGUUCUGCCUUAGUUGAUCGACGCAAUCAGGAUGUGUGACGAGAUGUUAGACAAACUAAAAUUAUGUCUGGUCUACAUCCUUGAGAGCGUGGUAUGGUGUCACCACAAGAAGAUUGAGAUCGACCUCUUCCACCUGGAGAUCGUCAACGAUAUUGAUCGUUUCAAUAACUAUCCAUGAGGCCGAAAAUAUUUCGAGGACACCAUACACGUUUUCACCAGAUCGCACUCGAAGCCCAAGGGGCCCGUACGUAAGUACGACACCUACGGAUUGCCCCUGGAGGUGUAGAUAAAUGAUUAACAUAAUCAAUGUUAAAAUAUUUUUCUAUUGAAUUUUGUAUGUAGUAAUUUAUAUUUUGCAGAUCUGGGCAUACGAGACUGUCCCCCCAUUGGGUACCGCUUUGUGCGGUGAGGGAAGACACGCUGCUCUCGGAUGCACCAUUGGUGAGAAUCUCGAGCGGAGGGAUGUCCCACUUGGAAACAAUUAUCGGCUUUCCUCGACGACCCUCAUGUUAGUAUUAUACAUUUGUGUUUUAUAUUGUACAUAGUUUAAAAUCUCAUUAAAUGAUUGUUAAUGAUUUGAAAUGUUAAUAUGUCAGCUUGAAAUAAUAACUUAUUUGACACCAUCGAUGGAGGGGGAGGCCCAGGGUCCUAUGCGUGAAUUAGGCAUUCCGCACACCUAAGACGAUCAGAUGUUCGAUUCGAUCAACGAUCGAGACUGAGUAAGUGAAUUAUUGAUUACUAUUUUGUAUCAGUUAGCAAUUAUUGAUUAAGUUAAUAAUUUGUAAGGUUGUUUGUGUAGGACCGUGAUCCAGUUGAUCGGGCAUCACCUCCGCCGCAGGCAUCACUUUUUCCCCCUCAGAGUCAUUAUUUUGAUGAUCUGUAUGCUCACCUGAUUGGAUUUAUAGUGCAGGAGAUCGGCGCGCUGCGUCAAGAGCUGAUAAUAGUUAUAUUUGAGGAGGUUGGCGUGCUGCGUCGAGAGAUGGUAGAGAAGAUCGAUUAUCUAGGAUGCGAGUUAGUAGGGAGGGUCGAAGAUAUAUCCGAUGAUGUUAGAUUACUACGUGGCCAUUUAUGGGACCUUCAAGAGAUUACAGCACUCCGAGGUGAUAUAGUCGGUAAACGAUGGGGUGACGAAGGUGGCGACCGGGGUAGUAAUCGAGAGGAGGAUAGAAAUGGGGUCACCAGCAGUCGUGGUUAGAGGAUAUAUUGGAAUCCUUUUUAAAGUCCAUAGAGUGGGAGCGGAUGACCUCGUUGGGGACGAGGGCGAUGAUGGAUGGGGAGG